UCACAAUUUCCCAGGUUGACAUCUAAUUAAGUUGAGACCCCAUCUAUUUAUCAGGCAUACUCUGCUUGCUAGACCGGAACAAGCGAGGCAAGCUCCGGAAACAGAAACAAUAACAAAAGUCCAAAAUCUGAAAAAUAAACCAUGAAGCUCAGUGAAAAGGACCCAGCAGAAAACAAAGAAAGCAAUUCAGUGAAAAAGAAAUUGGUGUGCAACAGUUUGGGGAGGUGAAGCCACCUGCCUCAGGUCACCCAGGGAUGUGGAAGAAUCAUGUCAAAUAGACAGCAACUCCCUUCAGGUGGACACUGUAUCUUUUCUAGGUACUUCGGUGAGUCAAGGAUCUACUGUCUAGGUAGUUGGUGUAAUGAAGGAAGGGAUGUGGUCAUCUCACACAUUCUGCUUAAAUGGUACUCAAGAGAGUUUCCCUCUCUGUCCAACCCUUCCCUGUUAGAAACUUUUCCACUUGUCCAAGCAAAAGUUUAAGCCUUAGUAAAUCAUCUAGAGGACAGUAUAAGUUCAGUUCCAGAAGUAUCUGGAACUGGACCCCUCUUCCCUGAGCCAGGCAGGAGAAAGGCCUUAGGAGAUAAAGAGGCUUGGGGCACUGCAUGAGUUUACCAGGGCUGUCAUGACAAAGUACCAUAGACUGGGUGGCUUAAACAGUAGAAAUAGAUUGUCUUACAGUCCUGGAGGCCCAAAGUCCAAGAUCAGAGCCAGCAGCGGUGGUGCCUUCUGAGGCUGCCCUUCCUGGUGUUUGUAUGUGGCCGCCUUCUCCCUGUGUCGUCUGUGUGUGUCUAAUCUCCUCUUCUGAUAAGGACGCCUGUCAGAUUGGAUCAGGGACCCAUGCGUAUGACCUCGUUGUGCCUUAAUUACCUCUGCAAAGACCCUGUCUCCACAUACAGUCCCACUCUGAGGUCCUGGGUGUGAGGACUUCAACAUGCAGCUCUGGAGGGACACCACUCAGCCCAUCGAGUGGACUGCCCGCGGGAGGCUGCUGUGCUGAGGGACAGCCAGCUGAAGGGCAGCAGCACGCGGAGCCUGGCGCUGGGCAGUGGACGUCAGGGGGCUGCGGGGGGAGGUGGGAGGAGCUGGGCACUGAAGGACGGGCGGAGUCCGGGGGAGUCAGAAGGAAGGGCCUGAGCUGGUCCAGGAGAACCAAGUGGGCAGGAUCCAGUGUCACCU